rnacentral:lncRNA from 1 species
AAACAACACUCCUGUCAGACUAGGAAUUCCAGGGCAUAUAGGCUGUGUGCCAGGAACAAGAACGUAGAUCCCCAAGUGAUGCUUCAGUGUCCCGUGUCACUAAGAAAUUACAGCAGCUUCAGUUCUCCUGGGAGCUAAUCUACGGAUAACGGCCAGACACAAGUCUCUUCUGCCCCAGUGUCAGUAAAACAGAAGCUGCCCCACCACUGCACACAGAAUGCUGCAGGAGUGACGUUCUCAAACCACGAGUCAGCAAUAGAUUGCUAGCCCCAUCUGCUGGACCAAGUCUUCUGUGGCCAAAGGAACACACACGUUGAAACAGUGGAUUUGUUUGUUUUGUUUUACAUUUUAAAAUAGAAAGGUGUAAAUCUGAGGCCUUUUCCAAUGUCUGUUUUAUAAGGCUUUGGUCAUCUAUUUAGGAACAAGCUCCCUUCCCCAAACCUGAAGUGCACGUGUGUAAGAACUAGAAAAGACAAUGACCAUGGUGCUACCAUUAAACAAAAACCCUACUGCAGGAAUCCCUCCCCUUCCCAUGUGGGCUUCCGUGAAACAAUUCCCAAAUAAGAUGUCAGAAAGUCACUUUGUAAAACUUGUGAUGUGUUUAAUAGAAGCAGCCCACAGCCAUACAUACAGAGCACAGGCAAGUCACCGAAGCUAACUGCAUCUAUCCUGAGGAAAGCACAAGUAAGUCCUCAGAACAGGCCAUCAGCCAUGGGGGAUAGGAAAGCUUGCACCAAAGACUUAGGCUUCAGUAAAGCAUUAUGUUUGAAGAUGUAUUCUACAUCAGCUUAGAAUACAUUUUCUCAUCAGUGAUUGAGUAAUUUUCCUUUGAGAGUCCAAACUUGCAUUCUAUCACAGAGGGACAGGCCAGCAACAUAAACAGGACUUCUCAGCCUUGUGACUAAGAUUCAGUGAAGUAGGGGCUGCCUCACCCAGAGACAUCCAUCCUAGUUGGGGAGGUUCAGAUCCUGCACUUAGAGAUCCUAGAAGAUCUGCGUGACCGUUUUCACAGGUCACAUGUUGGAAAUGCUCCACUAAGUGAGGUGUGGUGGGGCAUGUCUUUAACUCCCUGCACUCAGGAAGCAGAGGCAGGAAGAUCUUGGAGUUUGAAGCCAGCCUGGUCUACAUAGAGAGUUGCCAGAUGGCCAGGGUUUCAUAGAGAGAUUCGUC